rnacentral:rRNA from 1 species
GAUGAACGCUGACAGAAUGCUUAACACAUGCAAGUCAACUUGAACUUCGGUUUGGGUGGCGGACGGGUGAGUAACGCGUAAAGAACUUGCCUCACAGAUAGGGACAACAUUUGGAAACGAAUGCUAAUACCUAAUAUUAUGAUUUUAGGGCAUCCUAGGAUUAUGAAAGCUACAUGCGCUGUGAGAGAGCUUUGCGUCCCAUUAGCUAGUUGGAGAGGUAACGGCUCACCAAGGCGAUGAUGGGUAGCCGGCCUGAGAGGGUGAUCGGCCACAAGGGGACUGAGACACGGCCCUUACUCCUACGGGAGGCAGCAGUGGGGAAUAUUGGACAAUGGACCAAGAGUCUGAUCCAGCAAUUCUGUGUGCACGAUGAAGUUUUUCGGAAUGUAAAGUGCUUUCAGUUGGGAAGAAAAAAAUGACGGUACCAACAGAAGAAGUGACGGCUAAAUACGUGCCAGCAGCCGCGGUAAUACGUAUGUCACAAGCGUUAUCCGGAUUUAUUGGGCGUAAAGCGCGUCUAGGUGGUUACGUAAGUCUGAUGUGAAAAUGCAGGGCUCAACUCUGUAUUGCGUUGGAAACUGUGUAACUAGAGUACUGGAGAGGUAAGCGGAACUACAAGUGUAGAGGUGAAAUUCGUAGAUAUUUGUAGGAAUGCCGAUGGGGAAGCCAGCUUACUGGACAGAUACUGACGCUGAAGCGCGAAAGCGUGGGUAGCAAACAGG